rnacentral:rRNA from 1 species
GUUAGGAAUAUUGGACAAUGGGCGCAAGCCUGAUCCAGCCAUGCCGCGUGAACGAUGAAGGCCUUCGGGUUGUAAAGUUCUUUAGCCGAUGAUUAUAAUGACUGUAGUCGGAAAAUAAGCCCCGGCUAACUUCGUGCCAGCAGCCGCGGUAAUACGAAGGGGGCGAGCGUUAUUCGGAAUCACUGGGCGUAAAGCGUGCGUAGGCGGUCUCGUAAGUUAGGAGUGAAAGCCCAGGGCUCAACCUUGGAAUUGCUCUUAAUACUGCAAGGCUAGAAUCUCGGAGAGGAUAGCGGAAUUUCCAGUGUAGCAGUGAAAUGCGUAGAUAGUGGAAGGAACACCAGUGGCGUAAGCGGCUAUCUGGACGAGUAUUGACGCUGAGGCACGAAAGCGUGGGGAUCAAACAGGAUUAGAUACCCUGGUAGUCC